rnacentral:snRNA from 1 species
AUCGCUUCUCGGCCUUUUGGCUAAGAUCAAGUGUAGUAUACUAUGUGCUAGGCAUUUGCCUGCAGGAUUCAGAUUCAUUAGGAAGAAAUGGUAAAUCAGAAGGAAUUUUGGAAAGCUUUUUUUUUUUGAAAGAAUGGACCUUAU